rnacentral:tRNA from 1 species
UAGGCUUGACGUCGAAUCCCCACACAAUCGUACCUGUAUUGGGUCUGUAGCUCAGUUGGUUAGAGCGCACCCCUGAUAAGGGUGAGGUCGGAAGUUCAACUCUUCCCAGACCCACCACCUCACUUCGGGGCCAUAGCUCAGCUGGGAGAGCACCGGCUUUGCAAGCCGGGGGUCGGCGGUUCGAUCCCGCCUGGCUCCACCACCCAAUCACUCAGGUUUGUUCAUUAUUUCAUUAACACUAUAGUGGACAAACCUGAGUGUAUUACCACUCAGACGCUCUUUAACAAAUCAGAUAGUAUAGAUUGCACUGCAUACAGCAUUCAUAUAAGCAAAGCAUUAUUGUUUUGUUUAUCGCUUAAUCGAGAAUCAGAACCCCAGACGUUUUGGGGUUAUAUGGUCAAGUGACUAAGCGCAAACGGUGGAUGCCUUGGC